rnacentral:rRNA from 1 species
GAUGAACGCUGGCGGCGUGCCUAAUACAUGCAAGUCGAGCGGAAAGGCCUCUUCGGAGGUACUCGAGCGGCGGACGGCUGAGUAACGCGUAGGAACGUACCCCAAACUGAGGGAUAACUGCUCGAAAGAGUAGCUAAUACCGCAUGUGCUCUACGGAGUAAAGCUUCGGCGGUUUGGGAACGGGCUGCGUAAGAUUAGCUUGUUGGUAAGGUAAUGGCUUACCAAGGCGACGAUCUUUAGCUGGUCUGAGAGGAUGAUCAGCCAGACUGGGACUGAGACACGGCCCAGACUCCUCCGGGAGGCAGCAGUAGGGAAUUUUCCACAAUGGGCGAAAGCCUGAUGGAGCAACGCCGCGUGCAGGAUGAAUGCCUUCGGGUUGUAAACUGCUUUUAUAAGUGAAGAAUAUGACGGUAACUUAUGAAUAAGGAUCGGCUAACUCCGUGCCAGCAGCCGCCGUAA